rnacentral:rRNA from 1 species
UACGUAGGGUGCGAGCGUUGUCCGGAAUUAUUGGGCGUAAAGAGCUUGUAGGCGGUUUGUCGCGUCUGCUGUGAAAAUCCGGGGCUCAACCCCGGACUUGCAGUGGGUACGGGCAGACUAGAGUGUGGUAGGGGAGACUGGAAUUCCUGGUGUAGCGGUGAAAUGCGCAGAUAUCAGGAGGAACACCGAUGGCGAAGGCAGGACUCUGGGCCACUACUGACGCUGAGAAGCGAAAGCGUGGGGAGCGAACAGG